GUCCUUGUAGCUUAUACAAAGCAUGACACUGAAGAUGUCAAGAUGGAUGCUCAACACACCCGAGGACA
rnacentral:tRNA from 2 species